rnacentral:rRNA from 1 species
UACGGGGGGAGCAAGCGUUGUUCGGAUUUACUGGGCGUAAAGGGCGCGUAGGCGGUAGCACAAGUCAGUUGUGAAAUCUCCGGGCUUAACCCGGAAAGGUCAGCCGAUACUGCGGGGCUAGAGUGCAGAAGGGGCAACUGGGAAUUCUCGGUGUAGCGGUGAAAUGCGUAGAUAUCUGAAGGAACAUCAGUGGCGAAAGCGACUUCCUGGACCAAUACUGACGCUCAUGUGCGAAAGCGUGGGGAGUAAAACAGG